rnacentral:tRNA from 2 species
GGGCAAAUGGCGAAAUGGUAGACGCAACACACUCAAAAUGUGUCGAUUAAAUUCAUGAGGGUUCGAGUCCCUCUUUGCCUA